UACGAAGGGAGCUAGCGUUGUUCGGAAUCACUGGGCGUAAAGCGCACGUAGGCGGAUGUGUCAGUCAGGGGUGAAAUCCCGGAGCUCAACUUCGGAACUGCCCUUGAUACAGCACGUCUUGAGUCCGAUAGAGGUGGGUGGAAUUCCUAGUGUAGAGGUGAAAUUCGUAGAUAUUAGGAAGAACACCCGUGGCGAAGGCGGCUCUCUGGGACGGUACUGACGCUGAGACGCGAAAGCGUGGGGAGCGAACAGG
rnacentral:rRNA from 1 species